rnacentral:rRNA from 1 species
GAUAUAUCUUACAGGAGGUAGAGCACUGGUUUUGUGCGGGCGGCGAAAUGCUGUACCAAACAAUGUCAAACUCCGAAUGCCUGUAAUGUAACUGUCUGGCAGUGAGGCUACGAGUGAUAAGAUCCGUGGCCAAGAGGGAAACAGCCCAGAACGCCAGUUAAGGUCCCUAAUAUAUGCUAAGUGGUUAAGGAGGUAGAGUUGCAUUGACAACCAGGAGGUUGGCUUAGAAGCAGCCAUCCCUUGAAAGAGUGCGUAAUAGCUCACUGGUCAAGCGACUCCGCGCCGAAAAUACACCGGGACUCAAGCAUAUAACCGAAGCUGCGUCAUUACAGUUUACUGUAAUGGGUAGGGGAGCGUUCUGUUGUAGGACGAAGUUAGAUCGAAAGGACUAAUGGACGAAGCAGAAGUGAGAAUGUCGGCAUAAGUAGCGAAAACAUUGGUGAGAAUCCAAUGCACCGUAAACCUAAGGUUUCCCCUGGCAGGCUCGUCCGCGGGGGGUUAGUCGGAACCUAAGAUGAGGCCGAAAGGCGUAGUCGAUGGACAUCAGGUUGAUAUUCCUGAACUAUCUGGUAAUCGUUAUCAGAUGCGGAGGGACGCAGGAGGAUAGGCAUGCAGACGAACGGAAGUGUCUGUUUAAGCGUGUAGCUAGUUUGAGUAGGAAAAUCCGCUCAGGCGUUAAGACGUGAGGCGUUAUGAGGAGAGUCUACGGACUCGAAGCUGUUGAAUCCACACUGCCAAGAAAAACUUCGCAAUCGAGAUUAUCCGGUAUCCGUACCGUAAACCGCCACAGGUAGGUUAGUAGAACAUACUAAGGUGCGCGAGACAACUCUCGCUAAGGAACUCGGCAAAAUCACCUCGUAACUUCGGGAGAAGAGGUACCCUGGUAGCGUGAAGCGAUUUACUCGUGAAGCGUGAUAGGGUCGCAGUGAAUUGGCCCAUGCGACUGUUUACCAAAAACACAGGUCUCUGCUAAGUCGAUCAAGACGAUGUAUAGGGGCUGACGCCUGCCCGGUGUCGGAAGGUUACGUGGAAGGGUUAGUAGUAAUACGAAGCUCUGAAACUAAGCCCCGAUGAACGGCGGCCGUAACUAUAACGGUCCUAAGGUAGCGAAAUUCCUUGUCAGGUAAGUUCUGACCCGCACGAAUGGCGUAACGAUAUGGGCGCUGUCUCGGCGAGAGGCUCGGCGAAAUUGGAUUAUCCGUGAAGAUACGGAUUACGUGUACCAGGACAGAAAGACCCUAUUGAGCUUUACUGUAGCUUGAAAUUGAAUUCGGGUUCUUAUUGUGCAGUAUAGGUGGGAGACACUGAAGCAAGAACGUCAGUUUUUGUGGAGUCAUCGUUGAGAUACCACUCUGUAAUAAUUUGAAUUCUAACACUGAUCCCUCUAAUAACAGGGCAGUGGACAGUUUCUGGUAGGCAGUUUGACUGGGGCGGUCGCCUCCUAAAAGGUAACGGA